GAUGAAGAACGCAGCGAAACGCGAUAUGUAAUGUGAAUUGCAGAAUUCAGUGACUCAUCGAAUCUUUGAACGCACAUGGCGCCUUCCAGUAUCCUGGGAGGCAUGCCUGUCCGAGCGUCGUUUCAACCCUCGAGCCCUCGUGGCCCGGCGUUGGGGAUCUGCCACGGCAGGCCCCGAAAUACAGUGGCGGACCCGUUAGGCCCUUCCUUUGCGUAGUAGCAUCAGCCUCGCAUCGGGAGCCGGCGGGCUCUCCUGCCUCUAAACCCCCCAACAAGCCCGCUCCGGCGGCACCAAGGUUGACCUCGGAUCAGGUAGGAAUACCCGCUGAACUUAAGCAUAUCAAUAAGCGGAGGA
rnacentral:misc_RNA from 1 species